GAAGACAUACUGUUCACAGUGUGUUUGAUAAGCUGACAUGGGACAGGAUUUCUUCUUGCUGUUUUGACAGUAUACUGAAGUCAUACCUGGCCAUC
rnacentral:pre_miRNA from 1 species